GAUGAAGAACGUAGCGAAAUGCGAUAAGUAAUGCGAAUUGCAGAAUUCCGUGAGUCAUCGAAUCUUUGAACGCACAUUGCGCCCUUUGGUAUUCCGAAGGGCAUGCCUGUUCGAGCGUCAUUACAACCCUCAAGCUCAGCUUGGUGUUGGGCCCCGCCGCCCCGGCGGGCCCUAAAGUCAGUGGCGGUGCCGUCCGGCUCCGAGCGUAGUAAUUCUUCUCGCUCUGGAGGUCCGGUCGUGUGCUCGCCAGCAACCCCCAAUUUUUUUCAGGUUGACCUCGGAUCAGGUAGGGAUACCCGCUGAACUUAAGCAUAUCAAUAAGCGGAGGA
rnacentral:misc_RNA from 1 species